rnacentral:rRNA from 1 species
AACGCGAAGAACCUUACCUGCGCUUGACAUGGGAUUGCACCAGGGGUAAUGCCCUGUCCGCUUCGGCGGCGGUUCCACAGGUGCUGCAUGGCUGUCGUCAGCUCGUGCCGUGAGGUGUUGGGUUAAGUCCCCUAACGAGCGCAACCCCUGAGGUCCGUUAUCUAGGUGUCGGGCCUGACUGCCGCGCGCAACGCGGAGGAAGGUGGGGAUGACGUCAAGUCAGCACGGCCCUGACGCGCAGGGCGACACACACGCUACAAUGGCCGGUACAACGGGUCGCGAAGCCGCGAGGCGGAGCCAAUCCCAGCAAAGCCGGUCUCAGUUCGGAUGGCAGGCUGCAACUCGCCUGCUUGAAGUCGGAGUUGCUAGUAACCGCGGGUCAGCACACCGCGGUGAAUACGUUCCCGGGCCUUGUACACACCGGAGUGC